UGGGGAAUCUUGCGCAAUGGCCUAACGGCUGACGCAGCGACGCCGCGUGUGGGAUGAAGCUCUUCGGAGUGUAAACCACUGUUGCCCGGGACGAAUAGCUCGAUUAAUCGAGCCUGACGGUACCGGGUGAGGAAGCACCGGCUAACUCCGUGCCAGCAGCCGCGGUAAUACGGGGGGUGCGAGCGUUGUCCGGAAUCACUGGGCGUAAAGGGCGCGUAGGUGGUUUGAUAAGGGUGUGGUGAAAGCCCGGAGCUCAACUCCGGGUCUGCCGUGCCGACUGUCAAACUCGAGGACUGUAGAGGCAGACGGAAUUCCGGGUGUAGCGGUGGAAUGCGUAGAGAUCCGGAGGAAGACCGGUGGCGAAGGCGGUCUGCUGGGCAGUUUCUGACACUGAGGCGCGACAGCGUGGGGAGCAAACAGG
rnacentral:rRNA from 1 species